rnacentral:lncRNA from 1 species
UCUGAUAGAAUCAUAUCCUUCACUCCUCCUGUCCUUCCACAGGCUCUCCAAGGUCCAGGGUGCCCCAUGACCUCUAUCCUAGGGAAGCAGGCCCUUACAGGGAGGGAGAACGCGGACCUCAGUGUUCCAGCCCCCCUCCUACCCCCUUCCCCUUGGACAUAAAUCGGAAUGAUGAAGAAAGGACUUUAGAGUCAGACCUGGGCUUCUAUUUUUCUUUACAUCUCAGAGAUCUUAGAUAAGUUGUUUCUCUUCUGAGCCUUGAUUUCUUUCUUUUUUAUAUAUAUUUACCUGGCUGCUCUAGGUCUUAGUUGCUACGGCAUGGGGGAUUUUUAGCUGUGGCCUGUGAACUCUUAGUUGCAGUAUGUGGGUUCUAGCUCCCUGACCAAAAAUUGAACCCUGGCCCCCAGCUUUGCGGGCACAGAGUCUUAGCCACUGGACCACCUGUGGCUCAUCCAGUGAAGUCGCUUAGCCUUGAUGUCUUCAUUUCUAAAUAGGGUACCUCCCUCCUGGAGUGGAUGUAAAAUUAAAUUUAAAUUUGUAACUGCUUAUACAGACCUCAGUGAACUUCUCUGGUGACCCAGUGGUUAAGUCUCUGCACUUCCAGCACAAGGAGCAUAGGUUCGGUCAUCGGUCAGAGAACUAAGAUCCUACAUGCUGCAAAGAGUGACUGGAAAAAAAAAAAAAACCCUUAGCAUCACAAGCUCUCGCAGUGAAUCACUGCUCUCCACAAUCACCAGGCAGGAAACAGGAUUUACUUUCCUUCCUCCGGUCCCUUCUGAGCUGAAUCCUUGCCAUUCUCUCAGCUUCCUCUGUUUCUUGAGAAAAAGAUGUGUGGUCAAACAGGGAUAAGCCCCCGCAGAAAAAUCCAGGUUUCCUAUAACAGGCUCCCAGAAGCCUCGGUGUGCAUUUGAGCACCAUUCUCCACCAACCCCUGCUUUUCUUUUUUAAAUCCUGCCUUUAUUUAUUUAUUGUUAAUUUAUUUAAUUGGAGGCUAAUUCCUUUAUAAUGUUGUACUGGUUUUGCCAUACAUCAACAUGAAUCAGCCAUAGGUAUGCGUAUGUUCUCUCCCUCAUGAACCUUCCUCCCACCCCAACCUAAAUACAAUCCCACCUCUCUAGGUUGUCACUGAGCACUGGCAAACCCACUUUAUACCAACAUCAUUCUACUAGAGGUACUUGAGUAAAAAAACACACACAUAAAAAAAAAAAACAAAAAAGCCAAACGACAAAGGUCAAGUAUGGUGUCACUGAGGACCUCUUACAUCCCAGGCUGCAAGCCAAGAGCAGGGA